UGGGGAAUUUUGGACAAUGGGCGAAAGCCUGAUCCAGCAAUGCCGCGUGUGUGAAGAAGGCCUUCGGGUUGUAAAGCACUUUUGUCCGGAAAGAAAUCCUCUGGGGUUAAUACCCUCGGGGGGAGUGACGGUACCGGAAGAAUAAGCACCGGCUAACUACGUGCCAGCAGCCGCGGUAAUACGUAGGGUGCAAGCGUUAAUCGGAAUUACUGGGCGUAAAGCGUGCGCAGGCGGUUUUGUAAGACGGAUGUGAAAUCCCCGGGCUUAACCUGGGAACUGCAUUCGUGACUGCAAGGCUAGAGUAUGGCAGAGGGGGGUAGAAUUCCACGUGUAGCAGUGAAAUGCGUAGAGAUGUGGAGGAAUACCGAUGGCGAAGGCAGCCCCCUGGGCCAAUACUGACGCUCAUGCACGAAAGCGUGGGGGAGCAAACAGGAUUAGAUACCCUGGUAGUCCACGCCCUAAAACGAUGUCAACUAGUUGUUGGGGAUUCAUUUCCUUAGUAACGUAGCUAACGCGUGAAGUUGACCGCCUGGGGGAGUACGGUCGC
rnacentral:rRNA from 1 species